rnacentral:tRNA from 1 species
UCCCUCGUAGCCCAAUUGGCAGAGGCGACGGUCUCAGACACCGGAGGUUGCGAGUUCGACUCUCGCCGAGGGAACCA